UACGUAGGGUGCAAGCGUUGUCCGGAAUUAUUGGGCGUAAAGAGCUCGUAGGCGGUCUGUCGCGUCUGCUGUGAAAACUCAGGGCUUAACCCUGAGCUUGCAGUGGGUACGGGGCAGACUAGAGUGCGGUAGGGGGAGACUGGAAUUCCGUGGUGUAGCGGUGAAAUGCGCAGAUAUCAGGAAGAACACCUAUGGCGAAGGCAGCUCUCUGGGA
rnacentral:rRNA from 1 species